GACGAACCGUCCGAACGUUAUUCGGAAUCACUGGGCUUAAAGGGUGCGUAGGCGGCACGGAAAGUUGGGUGUGAAAUCCCUCGGCUCAACCGUGGAACUGCAUUUGAAACUGUUCGGCUCGAGUCCGGGAGAGGGUAGUGGAAUUCCCAGUGUAGCGGUGAAAUGACGUAGAUAUUGGGAGGAACACCGGUGGCGAAGGCGGCUACCUGGACCGGUACUGACGCUGAGGCGCGAAAGCUAGGGUAGCAAACAGG
rnacentral:rRNA from 1 species